GACGAACGCUGGCGGCGUGCCUAAUACAUGCAAGUCGAACGCAUAUUCUUUGAACGUGGAUUGCUACACCGAGAGAAAGAGGGGGGCGUACGGGGGGGGGACACUUGGUUAACGUGCGGAUCAGCGGGGGAAAACACAUGGAAACAGGGGCUAAUACCGCAUAAUUCCAGUUACCGGAUGGAAAGAGGAAAUAAGGCCCUUUUACGUUACUGCCGCGUUGAAUUAGCGAGUUGGUGAGGUAACGGCUGAUCAAGGCGUAGAUACAUAGCGGACCUGAGAGGGUGAUCGGCCACAUUGGGACUGAGACACGGCCCAGACUCCUACGGGAGGCAGCAGUAGGGAAUCUUCGGCAAUGGACGAAAGUCUGACCGAGCAACGCCGCGUGAGUGAAGAAGGUCUUCGGAUCGUAAAACUCUGUUGUUAGAGAAGAACGAGGGUGAGAGUGGAAAGCUCAUCAAGUGACGGUAACUACCCAGAAAGGGACGGCUAACUACGUG
rnacentral:rRNA from 1 species